UCAGCAGCCUGCCUGUGGUGGGGAGGCGGGACACAAAAAAAGGAAAAGAAAAAGGAACAUCAAGGUAGCUAGGUGAGCAAAGCUCCUCUCCAAUUCGGUAGAAAAAUGUAAAUAGUCGAUUAGAGGAAACUGAAAGCUGUGUUUGAUUUAGAAUCCACUGAACUUUAUUUUUCGACUGCUCUUUGGACCAAUAGAGCCACAGACUGAUGCUUUGGGCGGGAGGCUAGCAGUGUAGCGCCGGACCCGUACGUCACCUGUUGCUAUGUGACAAUUCGGAGAGAGAACAGUUAGCUUGUUAGCUAAGUAAAGUCUGAAGCACCAGCUUUAUUAGCUGGACGAGUCACUUAGUUCAGACAGCCUAGCGUAGCCGCCAACCGUGUGACCGUGACUGCCAAGAAAUGUAGAUUAAAAUCGGCAGGAUAACAGCGCCAUUUCACAGCAGCUAGCUCAGACUCCGGACAAGAGUUGUCGAUGCAGGACGCGGCUCACGGACGCGGCUCACGGACGCGGCUCUGUGACACAGCGGAGGAUCCCCCUGACAUCCAGACGCCAUAUCAGCGACCCACCCUGGUUCAUCCACCCUGUGAAUCCUCCGACCUACACGGCCUGAUGUUUGGAUUUUGUUCACUGCUUCUCACCAGAGACUGAGGAAUAAUCCACUUCUUCAGACAGGAAGGAGAGAGAAAGGUGAAGAUGUCCAGGUGGAGAGCAGCAAGAUGGAGGAGAGAGACUUUCAGCACAGGAGAGACAGACAGCACUAAAUCAUGAGACAGGACAUCUACUGUCAUGAAUAGUUACCUGCCCUUUUCCAAACAGUGUCCAGUGAGGCCUUCCCAGGUGGUUCUGUGUAACAAACAAC